rnacentral:rRNA from 1 species
AUGACGGGGAGGAUGGGGUUGCUCGUGCUGUUCGUCGCGGCGGUGUUGGUCGGGCCCUCGAGAGGGGGAGGAGAGGUGGACGGGGUGCAUGUCUUGCCUGGAUGGACGCGGCCCCCCUCUUCUUCCUCAACCUCUGCUCCUCCGUCUUCACUGGUUCUCGAUGGGGAUCUCGUGGACAAAAUAUGGUCAAUUUGCUUACAAGACAUAGUUGGCGCGGAGGAAAUUUUAGGCACUGGGCAGACGUUUGCUUAUGAAGAACUGCCAAGCCAUUCUUCAAAGGGUGAACUGAAGACGAUGCUGCUUAUCGAACUCCUGGCCCUUCUUCCACCUGACAAGUCUUCUGUUACCCAUGACUGUAUCCGCGCAAAUUAUAUCAGCUUGGGCAUGUCACAAGAAUUUAUCAACUAUCUUGAGGACCAGCAGGUCUUGCUUCGUUCAAACUUCUAUCCAAGAAGACGGCAUUUGGCUGAUCAAAUGGUUGGAGAUGCUCCUUCCUCUGGAGGUGAAGCUCGGUUUCCUCUUUCUCUGACGGAGCCGCCAUUUACACCUCCCAACUCUCCGAACACCGAACCUCGCAGCCGACAUCUCGAAGAUAAACCUGCAAAGAAGCGUCGGGGAGUGCCUCCUCCAGUCUCACCUUCGGAUAAGCAGCAUAACUACAUAAAAUUGGUCUUGACUGUCGUGCUCCCGACGGCGGCCUUCUCGUUCAUUGCUGCAUUUCUGAUUUUCUACUGCUGUGGAUGCAACAAGAGCAAGGUCUCUGUUGGCGAGCCUCGAGAUGACCAUCCUCUUCUUGACAUGCAGUUGGCUAACACGCCUGGCGCGUCACCCAAUAUCCGUGCAUCCUCCAGUCAGCUUCACAAGGAUGAUCAAGGGGUCAGGGCUUCUAAGCCCGGAGGCAGCAUGAGUCGGUGCUUUCCAUGCUGUUUUAAAACCUCAACUGAUGCGUCAACUCCCGCGCAAGCUACUGGAGGAACACAGAACAACACAAGUGAUGCUCCUAAACCAAUGCCUCCGCCACCGCCACCGCCGCCGCCUCCACCACCGCCUCCUCCUGUCAGGAAGGCUGGUCCUCCCCCACCUGCACCUCCCAAAGGCUCAUUAGCAAGAUUUCCUCAGCUGUCACCUGUUGAGUCAAGUCAUUCUGAAGGAUCAUCUGCAAGCGAGCAGGCCAGUGAAUCAUCUGAAGCUGAAGUGGGUGCUCCAAGACCCAAACUUCGGCCAUUCUAUUGGAACAAAGUUCUUGCCAAUCCUAACCAGUCGAUGGCCUGGCAUGACAUCAAGUUUGGUUCUUUUCAUGUGAACGAGGAUAUGAUAGAGGCAUUGUUUGGUUAUGGCGCUGGCAACAGAAACAACACCAAGGACAAGGAACUUGCCAUGGCAGACCCUUCACCUCAGCAUGUUUCUCUUCUUGAUUUUAAGAAAUCGUGCAACCUGGCAGUUGUUUUCAAGGCAAUGAAUGUCAGGGUAGAGGACAUUCAAGAUGCUCUCAUUGAAGGAAAUGAACUUCCUAGACUACUUCUCGAGACUAUCUUGAGAAUGAAACCAAGUGAUGAGGAGGAGCUGAAACUCAGGCUUUACGAUGGGGACUACUCGCAACUAGGUCUUGCAGAACAAGUCAUGAAGGCACUAACUGACAUUCCUUUUGCUUACAAGAGGAUCAGCGCUCUGCUUUUCAUGUCAUCUUUGCAAGAAGAUGCUUCAAGUCUCAGGGAUUCAUUCCUGCAAUUGGAGGCUGCUUGUGGGGAACUAAAGCACCGCCUUUUUCUGAAGCUGCUAGAAGCUGUUCUCAAAACUGGAAACCGUUUGAAUGACGGGACCUUCCGUGGUGGUGCUAACGCAUUCAAACUUGACACCCUUCUGAAGUUGUCAGAUGUCAAGGGUGCCGAUGGAAAAACUACAUUGCUUCACUUUGUUGUCCAGGAGAUUAUUCGGUCCGAAGGUGUCCGCGAAGCAAGGUUGGCCAUGGAAAGUGGAAGGACUCAACCUUCCGGAGACGAUUCGAACGGGUCUCUCCAAGAAGAUGGCGAGUACUACUCCAAGCUCGGCCUAAAGAUUGUAUCAGGGCUUAGCAGUGAACUGGUUAAUGCCAAGAACAUAGCCGCGCUAGAUGCUGAUGCUUUGUCUGCCAGUGUAUUGCAGCUCAGGCGUGAGUUGCUGAACACAAAGGAGUUCCUGAACUCUGACAUGGAAACGAUAGAUGAGAAUAGUGGAUUCCACCGCUCGCUGUCACGUUUCGUAGAACAUGCAGAGAAUGAGACCAACUUUCUGUUGAAAGAAGAGAAGAGGUUGAGAUCAUUGGUGAAGAAAACAAUCCGGUAUUUCCAUGGAAACGAUGCGAAAGAUGACGGAUUUAGCCUCUUUGUCGUUGUAAGAGAUUUUUUGGUGAUGCUAGAUAAGGCCUGCAAGGAAGUUGGGGCAUCACAAAAGAAGGCGGCGAGUCAAUCUCGGAGCAGUGGCAGUUGUAACCCAGCUUCACAGUUAAAUCCCCAGGAGAAACAGUUUCCUGCAGUGCUGGAUGAUCAUUUAGAUAGCUCGGACUCAAACGAUUAA